GGCAACUUGCCCCGAUUGGGGGUGUUACCUUGAAAGAUGUAUUCUCUUUGGUUAUCGCGCCAAUUAUUGUUGGUCUAGUACUUAAACUAGUCGAUUAUUGGUUGAAUAAUCGCCGAUAACUAAGCAGGUUGCUUCAGCCCACACGCUUGUAGUCGCAUCAAGCGAAAAA
rnacentral:ncRNA from 1 species